GACGAACGCUGGCGGCGUGCUUAACACAUGCAAGUCGAGCGAUGAAGUUCCUUCGGGAAUGGAUUAGCGGCGGACGGGUGAGUAACACGUGGGUAACCUGUCUCAUAGAGGGGAAUAGCCUUCCGAAAGGAAGAUUAAUACCGCAUAAGAUUGUAGUGCCGCAUGGCAUCGCAAUUAAAGGAGUAAUCCGCUAUGAGAUGGACCCGCGUCGCAUUAGCUAGUUGGUGAGGUAACGGCUCACCAAGGCGACGACGCGUAGCCGACCUGAGAGGGUGAUCGGCCACAUUGGGACUGAGACACGGCCCAGACUCCUACGGGAGGCAGCAGUGGGGAAUAUUGCACAAUGGGGGAAACCCUGAUGCAGCAACGCCGCGUGAGUGAUGAAGGUCUUCGGAUUGUAAAGCUCUGUCUUCAGGGACGAUAAUGACGGUGCCUGAGGAGGAAGCCACGGCUAACUACGUGCCAGCAGCAGCCGCGG
rnacentral:rRNA from 1 species